GCGCCCUUCCAAUGGCUGCCGCCGCUGAGGAGGCUCCGCUGCGGAGCCUCUGGGAGGAAAUUUGCGCAGAAUUUGAAGCCCAACAGCCUGUUCAUCCGGAUCAUUUGGAAAAGAAAGAGAUUCCACCUCCACCUCCACCUUCACAGCAGGUUCUCCCCGACGCCGAGCCGCUGCCAGAGCUGAGUGGGGGUGAGAGCAAGCCUGUGAUCGCUGAGGAAGAGCCUCCCCAGAAGACCCUGUCUCUCCUUUCUGCACUGAUAGCUCCUGAGCUCCCCGAUCUAAAAACAUGUGCUCCCAGGGAAUUUUUGGAAUGCUACAUUUUUCCAGUGCUUCUUCCCGGCAUGGUAGAACUCUUACACGAAGCCAAGAAGCAAAGAUGUUUUGAGAGGAAGCAGACACGAUUUAUCGCCCUUGAUUUCCUGACGGAGUGGUUAUACAACCACAACGCAAAGAGGCAAGAGGAACCCUUCGUGGAAUUUUUCGAGAUCCCGUUCGUGAAGGAUUGGCUGAAGGAUCAUCCUAGGCCUCCCAUUCCUCUGUCUCUGCUGCUCACCGAGAAAGCGGCCGGCCACAUCAUCCAAACCUUCUGGAAAGGUUAUCGGGUCCGUUGUGAUCCUGAAGUUCAAGAAUUACGCCAGUGGCAAAAACAUUUGAGGGAGACAAAGAACAUUAACAAACGCGUACGAGAAUUCUGGGCCAAUCAGGAGAAGAAAGUGGGAACCAAACUGGAAGACUCUGAGGAGCCCAGUCCAAGUCUCUCAAAAACUGCAAUGGCGGAUAAGUCGAAGACACCUGAGGUCAAAGGAAAGAUUAGCAACGACCAGCUAAGCAGCUCCAAGCUUGCAGAGAAUUCAUGCCAGGGUGCCUCAGAGUGAUCACUUCUAACAGAAUCACAGUGUCAUCGUAGAAACACUUGGAAAGGCGAAGAAGCUAAGAUGCUAAUAAGAGGCGUUUCGACUCGAAGAAUCAUGAUUCAAGGUGAACAAGACGCUGACAUUAAUCCCGAAGUCCCUCCGCGGUGUUCUCCAAGUUCAUAAGGGAUCUUCGCCACCUGAGGCUAGGUCGAUCUCCACUUCUUCAGCCAGGACAUACCACAGAUGGGGUGCCCCAGGAGAUGCAGGUGUUGUAGACGUCGACACUUAGCCUGUCUUGGAAACACUCGAUAAAAGCAAGUUAAUCAAUCAGUCAAAUUCUUGGGUGUAGGCAGCCACAGGUCUCCGGCUCUGGCUGAUAGUCUUUAUUCGCAUUCUGGCUUUGCGAUCGGUGAGUGGAUCUUCAAAUUUCUUUUGGAGCACUGCCAUGAAAGUUGAAGUUGCGCAGCUCCAGGGCAUCAUCAUUAUCUAUUCUGUCCACCCUCCCCCCCCAGCACAGCUUCCCUCCACCUGCAGAGCUUCCCCAAUUUCCUCUAUCCCCCCUGCACUCUGUUUAUGGCAAGAUGCCAGCAAGCAUAGUGAAGCAUAGCAAAAAUGGCAGAGCUGACAGUUAUCAUAGGGCCUGAAUUUUGCUCUAUUGAGAUUUACUCUGAUGGGUAUUACUUGUUCUUUGCUAUUUUUUUUUUUAAUUUCCUGUCUCUUUCUGGUUUUGUUUUGGUUUUUGUGUUAUCACUACAUUUUAUAUUUGGUUAUUGUCUUUUCUUAUCCCUUCUUUGUAAAUUAGAAAGUAAAACCAAUUGAUAAAUAAACCAGAUGCCUAGAAAUGUUAUACUGCUGAUGCCUGCUUUUGGGGGGGGGGGUCUGCGCAUGUGCUAAUCUCAGCAAUAUGCUUUAUAGCAUGGGGGUGUUCACUCGAGUUUGUUGCUUUUGGGUCUACAUAUAAAAAAUAAAUGUGAUUUGUCCUUA